rnacentral:snoRNA from 1 species
CAUCAUUGUAUUUAUUUAUAUUUUUGUUAAAUAAUAUUAAUAUUUUCAUGCGAGCAUGAGUCGCUGGUGUAAAGAAACUACUACUUUAGCUAGUGCUUUUUACUUGCUCGCAGAAAAACGUGCUUUGCCCAAGCAUAACCCAAAUUUAAAAAACCCGAGUUUGCGGUGCAUAUUAUUUUCGUGAAGCUGACAGUUUAAACCCUCUUAACUAGCUAAGUUUAGUAUUUGCGAAUAUGGCUAACCCAGCAUUCCAUUUUCAGAAACAAAAUGGCCUCUUAUGCUCAACACGUGUUUUCUGGCAGAGUUGGAGAGAGACAGACGGUAAGAAUUCGUUCCAAAUCCCAAAUUAGCCCUUCUCAGUUAUCUGAUGAUUUAUAAUUCUAUUUUCUGACAUCUCUUAUGAACCGUUGUGAUUCAAAUCAGUUAUAACUAAUUCUGACACAUUCGACUCUCAACUAAAUAUAAUUUUUACUUGUGGCCGUGACUUAUGAGAACUCAUCUAUUACUUGCAGAUCGGUCUUUCGAUUUGGAUUCGGAAUAUAAAUGAGGUUAUCAGCGUGAAAUGGUAAUUAUUCUCUUCAUUUAUGAAAACUACUUAAAAUUUCGUGAUGAAUGACCCUAUCAUCAUCUUUCGACUGAAAAUCAUUUUGAUGCUAUACUAGUUUUCACUGAAUUUUAAACGCUUUAAAAAAACCUGUUAAAAAGAUUGUUACAUUUGAAUAACACAAAUAUAUUUUAAUUUCAGUUCAUUGCAACGUCAAUAUCAUGUAUCAAACGUGGCUCACUAACACAGUGAAAAAGGUAAUAAUUCGGUUUAAGAUAAUAAAAAAAUUUAGUUUAAAUUUUAUGUGUAAAUUGGACAAUUAAUUGUGUUGUGAUGAAUGAAACUUACACCAUCUUUCGACUGAAAAAUGUUAUGAAGCUAUACGAGUUUUUACUGAAACCCCUUCAUUUUAUUAUUUUUGUGUUUUAUAAGUUUUUUAGAAAAUCGGUUGCUGCUCUUUAUAACCAUUUAAUUUUUGUCAUUUUGCAGUGUUCAAGAAAACCACCUUUGAUUGUCGCGUCAUAUGCCCAAACAAGGAUCUCUCCUUUGAAAAGGUAAAUUAUACUCUAGAACGAAAUAAUAUGUAAAUGAUGCUUUUAAAAUUUCUGACAUCUCUAAUGAACCGUUGUGAUUCAAAUUUUUCUAAUAUAAUUAACUGAUCAUUUUAAAAUCGCUUAAACGAUUGAGUUAUAUUUGAAUAACUACUUAUUUGUAUUGUUUUUGAUUUUUUUUUUUUUUUUACAGAUGUGAAACAUGCGUAGCAAAAUGAAUCCGUCAAUGGUUCAUUUAUAAAUUCCAAUAUCUAAAAAGGUUAGUACGAAAAGAGAUUCUGUUUAGCGGAAAUGAAGAUUUCAAUGAUGAUCACUUAAACCAUUCACAGACACCAUAUAAAGGUCAAGCGCUGGCAAUCUUCUUCAAUAUUCUUUUGGAGAUAGAGCGUCUUGUUUGACUGGUUAUGGGCCCUGGUUAAAAACUUGGCACUGAGCUUCAUAAUGCAUUCUAGUAUUAAUGAAAUUAGCCUGCGAAACCAAACUUAUCGUUCCUGUUGUUAUCUUUUCAGGUUGGCAACCUUGGAUGAACACAAUUUGUAUCUUGUGGAAUCACGAAUAAAUAAAAUUCAUAUGUGUUCUUAAAAAUCGUUUUUUACUAAGUUUGCUCGCUCCCGCAAUGCUAGUUCCUGGUUCUGCU